CACAGGCACGUUCAGUACUGUGACACUAGCGUCACCAGCCUGAGAUACGACAUCACGGUCGGUGAUAUGACCCAACAGUUCAGCAGUUCUGUCAGUACCCGGUGCACAGAGCUGGCUGUGAGGGAGCACCCAAGUGAGUUUGGAUUAGGAUUAUCAGUUUGGAGAACUUUCUUCAUAUUAAAAAAAAAAAAAGCACUCUGCAAAAGAGCUUAUGAAACAGUUACAGAAAUGCUAAGAUGGGGGUGCGACUGGGAUGUACAUGAGGGUAGGAAAGGAGAUGUAGGGGGAGGAGAGGUACUGAUGCAAUCCUCUGACUUUUAGGGGAUGCAAGGUUCCUCUUCACAUCACAAACUGGCUUGUGGUCAUGUCACUUUCAAGAUGGUACUUUACAGUUUCCCAAAUUGUUAGAUCAUCUCUCUUCUUUGGUUACAAGCUAAUGGUUAAUUUCAAGAAUAUGGCAAGCCAGCUAAUCACAGAUUUACAGGAGAAGGCUGUAACAUCACUGAAAGAAAACCAAAGCCUUAGGAAGAAGAAAAGGAGAAAAAGGAGAGAAAAUACCAAGUCAUUAUCAGAAAAAACCAGGAAUAUGAUCACAGCCUUCCAAGACAAGAAUAAAGUUGCCUGGAAAAAGAAUAUGACACUCUGGAAAAAAGACAUAGUCCUUUGGAGGAACGGCAAGACCAUACUAAUGGAGGAAGUGAAGAUCUGGGGAGACGGUCUAGAUGAAUCAACAGUUGGGCUGGACCUUUGGAAGAGGGAACUUCAGAAACAGGAAUUCCUCAGAAAGUAAAAAUAUUCACAGAAGAAAGUGCAUUCACAGCCAGAAACCAAAGAUGAGACACUUGCAUGCUUAGAGUCACUUCCACCUUCUUAACCUAAUAAAGCCUUGACCAGUCUUUGAAAUCCUUAGUCC
rnacentral:lncRNA from 1 species